rnacentral:tRNA from 1 species
GGGAAUGUAGCUCAUUGGCACAGCAUUUGCCUAACAUGUAUGAGAUCCUGGGUUCAAUUCCCAGCAUCACCA